rnacentral:lncRNA from 1 species
UUAGAAUCACUAGAGAUUGGAUUGACAUCUUAAGUACUACAACACUUAAGGAUUAAACUUAUCCUUUAUCAGUAAACAAUGGACAAUAUUUGCUUACCUUCCACGCUUCUAUAACCUCUAAACUGUCUUGAAGACAUUCCAUGACAGAAACAGAGAUUUUAGUUUUAGUUCUUAAUGAUUUGUAAUCGAUGGAGCCCUUGUAGAAUGUUCGAACAGAGCCAUCCUCGCCAUUAAUUUACAACCCUGUCCUUUCUGAAGUUGUUCGUUGCUUUCUUCGGUUCUGUGACGCUGAAGACUCUCAGAUCCUUGUUUUCUCUAUCCACUUUUGUAUAUAUUGAAUGACGUAAUUUAAUUUUUUUCUAUUAUACUAUGUAAACAAACUAAAAAAAUGCUCUUAAAACAGAGAUAUGUACACCAACUUGGUGGGCUAAGGAGAGGCUCGUAAGCAAACGAAAGAGGAUCUUCU